CCUUCCUUUUCCUCCUCUGUUUUCUUGUUCCUGCUGCGCUCUCGAUCCCGCCUGACCUAUCCGACCGUCCAAAAACCUUCAUCGUCCACGUGUCCAAAUCAGACAAGCCCGCCCUCUUCUCCUCUCACCGGAGCUGGUACACCUCCAUCAUCCAAUCCCUCCCGUCCCCCCACCCCACCAAACUCCUCUACACAUACGACCGCGCCGUCCACGGCUUCUCCGCCGCCCUCACAUCCUCUCAGGCCACCCAGCUCCUCUCCCACCCCGCCGUCCUCUCCGUCACGCCCGACCAGCCACGUCAGCUCCACACCACUCACACCCCCAGCUUCCUCGGCCUCGCUGAAUCCUUCGGCUUAUGGCCCAACUCCGACUACGCCGACGACGUCAUAGUCGGCG
rnacentral:lncRNA from 1 species